rnacentral:rRNA from 1 species
GAUGAACGCUGGCGGCGUGCCUAAUACAUGCAAGUCGAGCGAACAGACGAGGAGCUUGCUCCUCUGACGUUAGCGGCGGACGGGUGAGUAACACGUGGAUAACCUACCUAUAAGACUGGGAUAACUUCGGGAAACCGGAGCUAAUACCGGAUAAUAUAUUGAACCGCAUGGUUCAAUAGUGAAAGACGGUUUUGCUGUCACUUAUAGAUGGAUCCGCGCCGCAUUAGCUAGUUGGUAAGGUAACGGCUUACCAAGGCGACGAUGCGUAGCCGACCUGAGAGGGGGGACGGCCCACCGGGGAAUUGGAACCGGCCCAACCCCCCCAGGGGGGGACGAGGAGGGAACUUUCGCCAAAGGGGGGAAGCCCUACCGAGCAACCCCCGGGGGAUGAAGAAGGUUUUCGGGUUCGAAAACCCUUUUUUUUGGGAAGAAACAAAGGUUAAAUCAAAUGUGCACGUUUUGACGGUACCUAAUCAGAAAGCCACGGCUAACUACGUG